rnacentral:lncRNA from 1 species
GUUUUUCAGAAGCAUCCAUGUUGUGGCAUGUAUUGGUCCUUCCUGCUUAUGGCUGAAUAUUCCAUUGCAUGGAUAUACCCCAUGUCGUUUAUCCAUUCAUCAGUUAAUGGGCAUUUGGAAUCUUGGCUAUUAUGAAUGAAUAAUGUUGCUAUGAACAUUUGUGCACAAGUUCUUGCACGGGCAUAUGUUCUCAAUUCUCUUGGGUAUAUACUUAGAAGUGGAAUUUCUCAGAUCAAAUGGCACUCUGUUUAACAAUUUUAAGAACUCCAGAAUGUUGUCCAAUUUUACAUUCCCACCAGCAAUAUAUGAGGUUUCAGAUUUUCCACGUCCUAGACAGUACUUGUUAUUUUUUAAUUUAGUGGGUGUGAAGAAGAUUGUGGAUACCACCUGGAUUUGAUCUGAUUUCUCUUUUGAUUUGAUUUCCCUGAUGGAUAAUAAUAGUGAACAUCUUUUGAUCUACGUUUUGGCACUUGUGCAUUUUUCCUUAUUUCUUCCACUACCACAC